rnacentral:lncRNA from 1 species
UUAUGAACGUGAUUUUCACAUGGAUGCUGCAGAAAGAAGAAAUGCAGAGAACUGUGAGAACUAACUGUUGAUCUGAAAGCAACCAUGAUUUGCUACAGAGGUGCGAGCUUGCACAGAGACCUGUGAAAUCCCACAGAACACAGGAAGUGUCUAAUUCCGCUGGAUCGGGCUGGUGUCAAGGCAGCUGACAGCUUCAGAGCCAAGAGCCUCCAGAAUCCUUUUUGGUAAGGAAUGUCAGCUACAAGGGGAAUCCCUACCUCACCAUCUACACAGAGUUCAAAGGAAAUGCAGAUUUAAUCAUUUGGUUUCUGUGUGACUUUCAAGUCAAAGUGAAACUAGAAUGUGAAUAUCAGAGCGUGUGAACCUUUUUGGUACGAAGCCUGGGUUCCCCUCUUACUGCUGCGGUGUGUAGAGGAUUGUGCAAUGUAAUAGCAGCAUCCAAGAUACACAGGGUCUCUGCUUCGACUCUCAAGAUGACUGCUGAUGCUCGGAGCUGAGCUGCAGAGUGCAGCAGCUCAUUGUUUGGGCCAGGAGUGUGCACGUGAAAAAUGACUCGCCGCACACUCUGCUUCCAUUCUGGUGCUCCGGGAAUGGAUUGACUUCAAAGAACUCUUUAAAAAUUAAAGUUAGGGGGACUGGAGAGAUGGCUCACUGGUUGAGAUUACUGACCGCUCUUCCAGAGGAGCCAGGUUCAAUUCCCAGCACCUAUAUGGCAGUUCAUAACUGUCUGUAACUCCAAGAUCUGACACCCUGAUGCAGACAUACAUGCAAACAAAACACCAAUGCACAUGAAAUAAAACUAAACUUAGAAUGCCACCUAGCAGUAGUGAAACUAAGUUCAAUCCCCAGAGCCAUUAAAUAAAUAUAAUGCAUGUAUAUGCAUAUAUACAUAUACAUAAUCUAUUUAUAAUUUAUAUU